rnacentral:misc_RNA from 1 species
AAGUCGUAACAAGGUAACCGUAGGUGAACCUGCGGUUGGAUCAUUAUUGAUACAACGGUCUCGGAGUCCUCCUCGGAGUUGAUUCCUCGACCUUACCCACCCCAUGUGCACUGUAAAUGUUUUUUGGGACUACUCCUCUGUUUGCCUAGUGCUUACCUAGUAGUGGUCCCAGCAGUAUAUAAACUCUAUUUAAUUUGUCUGAAAUGAAACCAAGAAUCGUAACAACUUUUGACAACGGAUCUCUUGGCUCUC